rnacentral:rRNA from 1 species
CACGUAGGGCGCAAGCGUUGUCCGGAAUUAUUGGGCGUAAAGAGCUCGUAGGCGGUCUGUUGCGUCCGCUGUGAAAACCCGGGGCUUAACCCCUGGCUUGCAGUGGAUACGGACAGACUAGAGGUAGGUAGGGGAGAAUGGAAUUCCCGGUGUAGCGGUGAAAUGCGCAGAUAUCAGGAGGAACACCGGUGGCGAAGGCGGCGCUCUGGGCCGGAACUGACGCUGAGGAGCGAAAGCGUGGGGAGCAAACAGG